rnacentral:rRNA from 1 species
AAGCGGUGGAGCAUGUGGCUUAAUUUGAGGAUACGCGCAGAACCUUAUCCCGGGCUUGACAUGCACGGAUUAGCCGGCGGAAACGUCGGCGACGGGGCAACCUGGAACGUGCACAGGUGCUGCAUGGCUGUCGUCAGCUCGUGUCGUGAGAUGUUGGGUUAAGUCCCGCAACGAGCGAAACCCCUGUGGCCAGUUGCCAGCGCAUCACGGCGGGCACCCUGGCCAGACUGCCGGCGUCAAGCCGGAGGAAGGCGGGGACG